GUGCCCAACAUUGAGAACGCUAAUGAGAACGAACCAUGCAACUCCCACUAUUGAAAAGUGAGUGGAAGUGGGGGAGAAUCGGGCAGGGGCUUUGGGGGCAGGGUUGAAAUCUUGAGAAAAGGGACUGGCAGGGGUUUCGGAAGCGUUGGGGCCUCCUGCCCUGCCCUGCCCUGCCACUCUGGGAGUAUGAAAAGGUCAACCCCAAAGCCUAACUGGGCACCUGUCAGAAACCACGGGCAGACACUGGAAACUUUCACUUGGAUGCUCGGUCAUAGGGGCGUUCGUGGUCAUGAUGCCACUCUUAUGUUUGAACGUCGUGGGCUGUAAGUGUUUUUAUUUUAUUUUAUUUUAUUUUUACAAUGAGGGGGUUAUUCUCUUCAGUUUAUAGGGUUGACAUUUGUAAUACCACGGUAUUUUUUUUGUUUUUAUUUAUUUUCAUUUUCAUUUUUUUCUGACUGGGUUAUCAAACUAUUCCAAAGUAGAAGAUUUUCAUUUAUGGGUGAGCUGCAAGCUAUAAACAUGGUGUGUGGGUAGGAGCUCUGGGAUCAAUUAACAGGCUGAUAGUGGACAAAAAUAUAGUGCCAAAGACGGGGAGCUUCCACCAAGUGCCCUGUGACCAGAAAACAAGGCAAUGAACAAGCUUGUGGGAUUCAUUAAACUCAAGGCAUUUACUCAUCCUUUCCAUUGACAUGUUCAUCAAUAUAUGUAUAUAUACAUAUAUAUAUAUAUCUAGAGUUCUCCGAGGAUGACCACAAGUGUGUGUGUGUGGGGGGGAGGAGAUAGAAGCUCUUUCAGUUAUUCAUGGAUUGAAUAUGUGUAUGGAUGAGAAUAGACACUUGGACAAAUGGAGUAGUCUCUCAAUAUUUAGCUUUAUUUUGUUACUUGGUUGGAGAGUUUUGAGAAAAUGAUGUUCAUUUCACUACAUCAACAUUUGGAUUAAAACAUCAUAUUCUGAAAUAAAGUAAUGUUCUUUGAGUUGUAUAUAACUAUAUAUAUGCAUUGGUUUUAGUUGCUAUUCUUUUCUAUGUAUGUAAAAAUCAAUAAAUAAGUGUACCUAUUAUAUGUUGCUAGUGCAAAUAUCCUGAUUAUAUAUAUUUUUUACAUUUGAAAGAGAAUUUAAAAUAUAACAUUUUUUGAAUAGUUCUUAUGAAAAAACUAUCUCUCUAAAUUUGGCUGAAUAGCAAAACAUAGAAUUCACUUUUUCAUUUUUUUUCUCAAACCAUCAAAGUAAGUAUGGCUUGUUCAUUAAUUUCUACACAAAGCAACUUUCUAAAAUGUUUGUAUGCAGGUAUUUCACAAUGGAUAGAGUCAAGGCCAUAUGAAGGCGCAUUUUGAUUUUCUAUUAUUCAAAUACUACUUCACAUAUUUAUAACAUUCAAUGCUUUGAAUUUCCAACAAGUGAAUAUGUUCUCAUUAGAAACUACAAACAGGAAGUUUUAGGUCAAUCAACCUUCAUUGUGAACUUUCCUUGAAACCUUUACAUUUUGAAACAAACAGUUCAUAUAUCAAACAAAAAUAAUUUAUAAAUUUUAGACAUUUUGGUGUGGUCAGAUAGUAAUGAUAUAUUUAACCCCAUGGUUUGAAUAUAGAUUAUCAACAACUUCAACAAAUGGAGUUCACACAAAGUGAGGAAAAUGCUUCAUCUUCCCAUUAAUCACAUUCUGCACACAUGUCCCCAGAUUCAGCUUUGGAACCAUCAACCCACACAUGUUGCUCCUGAGAUAAACAGAGUUUUGUUCCAGAUGAAUGAAUCUCUGACCUUGCUGUUGUUCAUAAAUACAUAAAUAAAUAAAUAAAUACUAGUGAAAACUUGUGAUGUUUGAGCACACAAAUAAUACCAAUAAAAUGGGUAGGUUUUAUACAAAUAUCUUAAAAAAAUCAAGACCCCAUGCUGUUGGUAAAUUUGCUUCAAAGUUGUUUGACCCAAUGUGCCAAAUCUAUCACAAACCAAAUCAACCACAUGUC
rnacentral:lncRNA from 1 species